CCCAGACUCCUACGGGAGGCAGCAGUGGGGGAUAUUGCACAAUGGGGGGAACCCUGAUACAGCGACGCCGCGUGGGUGAAGGAGCGUUUCGGCGCGUAAAGCCCUAUCGGCAGGGAAGAAGGAGGACGGUACCUGACUAAGAAGCCCCGGCUAACUACGUGCCAGCAGCCGCGGUAAUACGUAGGGGGCAAGCGUUAUCCGGAUUUACUGGGUGUAAAGGGGGCGCAGACGGCAGCGCAAGCCAGGAGUGAAAGCCCGGGGCCCAACCCCGGGACUGCUCUUGGAACUGCGCGGCUGGAGUGCAGGAGGGGCAGGCGGAAUUCCUGGUGUAGCGGUGAAAUGCGUAGAUAUUAGGAGGAACACCAGUGGCGAAGGCGGCUUGCUGGACGAUGACUGACGUUGAGGCUCGAAAGCGUGGGGAGCAAACAGGAUUAGAUACCCUCGUAC
rnacentral:rRNA from 1 species